AUGCUUCUGGAAGCAAAUAUGCUAAAAUUAGAAUGACACUGAGAAGGGUAACAUGGUCCCUGCAUAAGGACAACACAUAAACUCAUGAGGUGUUCCAAAUUUAU
rnacentral:snRNA from 1 species